GACGAACGCUGGCGGCGUGCUUAACACAUGCAAGUCGAACGGAAAGGCCCUGCUUUUGUGGGGUGCUCGAGUGGCGAACGGGUGAGUAACACGUGAGUAACCUGCCCUUGACUUUGGGAUAACUUCAGGAAACUGGGGCUAAUACCGGAUAGGAGCUCCUGCUGCAUGGUGGGGGUUGGAAAGUUUCGGCGGUUGGGGAUGGACUCGCGGCUUAUCAGCUUGUUGGUGGGGUAGUGGCUUACCAAGGCUUUGACGGGUAGCCGGCCUGAGAGGGUGACCGGCCACAUUGGGACUGAGAUACGGCCCAGACUCCUACGGGAGGCAGCAGUGGGGAAUAUUGCACAAUGGGCGGAAGCCUGAUGCAGCAACGCCGCGUGCGGGAUGACGGCCUUCGGGAUGUAAACCGCUUUCGCCUGUGACGAAGCGUGAGUGACGGUAAUGGGUAAAGAAGCACCGGCUAACUACGUGCCAGCAGCCGCGGUGAUACGUAGGGUGCGAGCGUUGUCCGGAUUUAUUGGGCGUAAAGGGCUCGUAGGUGGUUGAUCGCGUCGGAAGUGUAAUCUUGGGGCUUAACCCUGAGCGUGCUUUCGAUACGGGUUGACUUGAGGAAGGUAGGGGAGAAUGGAAUUCCUGGUGGAGCGGUGGAAUGCGCAGAUAUCAGGAGGAACACCAGUGGCGAAGGCGGUUCUCUGGGCCUUUCCUGACGCUGAGGAGCGAAAGCGUGGGGAGCGAACAGGCUUAGAUACCCUGGUAGUCCACGCUGUAAACGGUGGGUACUAGGUGUGGGGUCCAUUCCACGGGUUCCGUGCCGUAGCUAACGCUUUAAGUACCCCGCCUGGGGAGUACGGCCGCAAGGCUAAAACUCAAAGGAAUUGACGGGGCCCCGCACAAGCGGCGGAGCAUGCGGAUUAAUUCGAUGCAACGCGUAGAACCUUACCUGGGUUUGACAUGGAUCGGGAGCGCUCAGAGAUGGGUGUGCCUCUUUUGGGGUCGGUUCACAGGUGGUGCAUGGCUGUCGUCAGCUCGUGUCGUGAGAUGUUGGGUUAAGUCCCGCAACGAGCGCAACCCUUGUUCACUGUUGCCAGCACGUUAUGGUGGGGACUCAGUGGAGACCGCCGGGGUCAACUCGGAGGAAGGUGGGGAUGACGUCAAGUCAUCAUGCCCCUUAUGUCCAGGGCUUCACGCAUGCUACAAUGGCUGGUACAGAGAGUGGCGAGCCUGUGAGGGUGAGCGAAUCUCGGAAAGCCGGUCUCAGUUCGGAUUGGGGUCUGCAACUCGACCUCAUGAAGUCGGAGUCGCUAGUAAUCGCAGAUCAGCAACGCUGCGGUGAAUACGUUCCCGGG
rnacentral:rRNA from 1 species